CUGAGGUGGUGCAGUGGUUAGCACUGUUGCUUUGCAAUAAGGAGGUUCCAGGUUCACGUCCUGGCCGGCUAGG